UCCUCCACUAUUUUCUGCCUGUUCCUC
rnacentral:piRNA from 1 species